rnacentral:rRNA from 1 species
GUGGGGAAUCUUGCGCAAUGGGCGAAAGCCUGACGCAGCCAUGCCGCGUGGAUGAUGAAGGUCUUAGGAUUGUAAAAUCCUUUCACCGGUGAAGAUAAUGACUGUAGCCGGAGAAGAAGCCCCGGCUAACUUCGUGCCAGCAGCCGCGGUAAUACGAAGGGGGCUAGCGUUGCUCGGAUUUACUGGGCGUAAAGGGCGCGUAGGCGGACAUUUAAGUCAGGGGUGAAAUCCCGGGGCUCAACCUCGGAACUGCCUUUGAUACUGGGUGUCUUGAGUAUGAGAGAGGUGUGUGGAACUCCGAGUGUAGAGGUGAAAGUCGUAGAUAUUCGGAAGAACACCAGUGGCGAAGGCGACACACUGGCUCAUUACUGACGCUGAGGCGCGAAAGCGUGGGGAGCAAACAGGAUUAGAAACCCCAGUAGUCC